rnacentral:rRNA from 1 species
GUUGAGGGACGGUUUGUUGAUUUUCUUGGAAUAGGGUGUGG